UCUAAAAAAUAAAAGGUAAUACCUCUUGAGAAACCUUUACUCUUUGACGGCCUUUUUCCUAAUCAGAGGAACUUGUUAAUUUAUCGAAACCACCCGAUUAUUUUCUCUCCCUUUAAAGUCUUUAUACCAUCGUCUUAAGUUUGUACUCACUAGUAACACACAAGAAAACCUUUCUUAGUAAGUCAGAUCAAGGUGAAACCCAUAAAGGAGCCACUAAUGAGUUAUUUAUAAAAACCAUUUAAAGAUUUUAACCAAAAAGUUCCAUGAAUCAAGAUUUGAAAAUACCCUUGAGUUAAAACCUUAGGGGGAAUAAGUAAAAAAAGGUGU
rnacentral:rRNA from 1 species